CCUGGCUCACGAUGAACGCUAGCUACAGGCUUAACACAUGCAAGUCGAGGGCUAGCAUGGUCUUAGCUUGCUAAGGCCGAUGGCGACCGGCGCACGGGUGAGUAACACGUAUCCAACCUGCCGUCUACUCUUGGACAGCCUUCUGAAAGGAAGAUUAAUACAAGAUGGCAUCAUGAGUCCGCAUGUUCACAUGAUUAAAGGUAUUCCGGUAGACGAUGGGGAUGCGUUCCAUUAGAUAGUAGGCGGGGUAACGGCCCACCUAGUCUUCGAUGGAUAGGGGUUCUGAGAGGAAGGUCCCCCACAUUGGAACUGAGACACGGUCCAAACUCCUACGGGAGGCAGCAGUGAGGAAUAUUGGUCAAUGGGCGAGAGCCUGAACCAGCCAAGUAGCGUGAAGGAUGACUGCCCUAUGGGUUGUAAACUUCUUUUAUAAAGGAAUAAAGUCGGGUAUGCAUACCCGUUUGCAUGUACUUUAUGAAUAAGGAUCGGCUAACUCCGUGCCAGCAGCCGCGGUAAUACGGAGGAUCCGAGCGUUAUCCGGAUUUAUUGGGUUUAAAGGGAGCGUAGAUGGAUGUUUAAGUCAGUUGUGAAAGUUUGCGGCUCAACCGUAAAAUUGCAGUUGAUACUGGAUAUCUUGAGUGCAGUUGAGGCAGGCGGAAUUCGUGGUGUAGCGGUGAAAUGCUUAGAUAUCACGAAGAACUCCGAUUGCGAAGGCAGCCUGCUAAGCUGCAACUGACAUUGAGGCUCGAAAGUGUGGGUAUCAAACAGGAUUAGAUACCCUGGUAGUCCACACGGUAAACGAUGAAUACUCGCUGUUUGCGAUAUACAGCAAGCGGCCAAGCGAAAGCGUUAAGUAUUCCACCUGGGGAGUACGCCGGCAACGGUGAAACUCAAAGGAAUUGACGGGGGCCCGCACAAGCGGAGGAACAUGUGGUUUAAUUCGAUGAUACGCGAGGAACCUUACCCGGGCUUAAAUUGCAGAUGAAUUACGGUGAAAGCCGUAAGCCGCAAGGCAUCUGUGAAGGUGCUGCAUGGUUGUCGUCAGCUCGUGCCGUGAGGUGUCGGCUUAAGUGCCAUAACGAGCGCAACCCUUGUUGUCAGUUACUAACAGGUUCCGCUGAGGACUCUGACAAGACUGCCAUCGUAAGAUGUGAGGAAGGUGGGGAUGACGUCAAAUCAGCACGGCCCUUACGUCCGGGGCUACACACGUGUUACAAUGGGGGGUACAGAGGGCCGCUACCACGCGAGUGGAUGCCAAUCCCAAAAACCUCUCUCAGUUCGGACUGGAGUCUGCAACCCGACUCCACGAAGCUGGAUUCGCUAGUAAUCGCGCAUCAGCCACGGCGCGGUGAAUACGUUCCCGGGCCUUGUACACA
rnacentral:rRNA from 1 species